AACUUACUAGAGAUAGUUUGGUGCUAGCUUGCUAGAACUUUCAUACAGGUGCCGCACGGCUGUCGUCAGCUCGUGUCGUGAGAUGUUGGGUUAAGUCCCGCAACGAGCGCAACCCUCGUGUUUAGUUACUAACAGUUCGGCUGAGGACUCUAGACAGACUGCCUGGGUAACCAGGAGGAAGGUGAGGACGACGUCAAGUCAUCAUGGCCCUUACGGCCAGGGCUACACACGUGCUACAAUGGGGUAUACAAAGAGCCGCAAUACCGCGAGGUGGAGCAAAUCUCAUAAAAUAUCUCCCAGUUCGGAUUGAAGUCUGCAACUCGACUUCAUGAAGUUGGAAUCGCUAGUAAUCGUGAAUCAGCAAUGUCACGGUGAAUACGUUCCCGGGUCUUGUACUCACC
rnacentral:rRNA from 1 species